ACAGGAAGAAACAACAGGAACACAUAUAGCUGGAAUGCAGAUGGGAUCUGUGCUACUUACGCUAGCCAUGGGAUGAUUAGAACAAGAUAAGAGACAUGAGGAAGACUUCUUCAAGGAGGUGCUCAAGCCAUGUUUUGGAAAAGAGAACUCAAGGUCUGGCAGGGAGAAAGGAGCAAGAGCAGACUUUGAGUCUUUGCUUCAGAUGCAGAUCAAGAUGUGGCAACCUGUUGUGGAGAACUGGGUCCCUUGAGCCUGUGCUGUCUCUUUUUUUCUGGUGGCUUUGUCAUUUGGAACAAUGCAUAAUGGGCUGGAGGCUGAGAAAUUCUGAGCUGAGGGCAAGUAGAGCUGCGGCUGUCUGGCGCCACUGUAAUGCUGUCUCCUCCUCUGAGUUCAUCCUGGAAACAUUUUCUCCCAUAAGACAUGCACAGGUCUUACGUUUACAUGUUUCACUGAAAGAAAUUUGAUUCCACUGAUGGGAUGACAAGGAAGACUGAAGAAACCUAAUCCUAGGUGCUGCCAUUGGG
rnacentral:lncRNA from 1 species